AGAUUUCCGUCAGAGUAUGACAUCAGAUUUAUGAAGACGAUAUACAAAUUGUAAGUGAAGGCUAUGUCGGCCAUACACACUUUUAUCCAGGAUACUGUGUGUCGGUGAUAUAGUUCUAAGUGGAGUGCUAUGUUUCAUACUUAACUUUGAGGGAUAUUAGGGAACGUUAAAUAGAUGGCUGAUUAUAUCCACAACAAUACCAUUUAUUGUUAUACAUGGAUUUAAUAGAGGAUAUAUUGCCUCUAGAAUCUAUUUAAAUGCAGCAUUUCUUUCAAUCAUAUAAUUCUGUAUGAUUGUAUGUGUAAAGACAUUGGAAGACGUGCAGUAAUCCCAUCUGUACCCCUGUUACGUUGUUUAUGGUAAGUGGAAGGCGACCAAAAAUACUGGUGUGACUGAAAACAAACGUAUAUACAUGUACAACAUUCGAAGAUUUCAGAAUGUCUGAAACACGUGCAAAUCAUGGUUACUUGGAAACAGACAUAGACGAGUUUCUAGAUCAGACUCCACCUGAAGCCCAAUCGCUAUUCAAUGCUGGUAGUAAACUGAGUUUUCAGCAUGAUCGUGACAAUGGAACCAACGGUAUCUCCAAAAGUAUCGUUCUAACUGAGAACUCGGACACAAAACCUGGUCCUGAAGAUAUUUCGGCAGAUACGCCAUUAGUGGAUUCAGACAAAGACGAACCCCUCACGUCCAGCGCGUCGCCUUUCUUGCAAGAUAAUCCACGAACGGAAUCUUAUGUAAGCGACGGGAAUUCAGAGGUUAAUGAAGACUACGACAAGGGGCGAAGAAGACUGGAGUCAACAGAGAUCCUCACGACAAUCUUACUUUGCUUGGGUGUUUCGAUGAGUUGCCUUUUCCUUUUCCUGUUAGUAACAUCUCUGAUUUCCGCAUACUGGGAGCCUAACAACCUCAGAAAGUUUUGUGAUGAUAUACAUGUGGUUGGGUAUACAAGUCAAGCAUGCCGGGACAUUGACAGUGGAUGAUCAGAUGGAGAAGGAUGGACAGGCUGUACAGUAUUUAAAAUGGUAUUAACAGUGAUUAUUUCAGUCAUAAAUCAAAACUGUAAUUCGACUGAUAAAAUGACAUUCAUUAUUUUGUUUAUCAGGGAUAUGUAUGGACCUAAAUAAUUCGCUGAAAGCAGUGAAGAGCCAGUUAAACAAUUCCCAUAUUAAGACAUCCAGACAUAAUUAUUUUAUCAUUAUGCCGACAUGACAAACAACAUGAUCUGUGUGUGUCGUCCCUGAAAGAACUCGUUUAUUGCUAACAUAAUGCUAUAUAUCUGUCGUCACAUACAGAACUCGUCUAUUGCCGACAUGACAAACAACACUUUCUGUGUCUAAAUUCCCAGACAGAACUCGGUUAUUGCCGACAUGACAAACAGCAUGAUCUGUGUAGUCACAGACAGAACUCGUUUAUUGCCGACAUGACAAACAGCAUGAUCUGCAUCGUGUUAUAAGAGUUAUCGCGCAUGAAACAGAUGUGUUUUUGUUAACAUUGGUCCAGAAUGGACUUCAUUACCGAAAAUUGCAUUAAUUUUAACAAUGAUAAUGAUACACUGUACUGUAAACACUGCAAUGCAUUUGGAAAACAAUAUGAACAUGUUACGUGCUUUAAAAUGAAGCAUACGUCUCAGGCAUUUGCUGUUUUAAACACUAGCUAUAUUCUCUAUGGAAUAAAGAGGUUACACGACGCUGUUGUAUAUGGUACUUCUUUUACUCGAGUUAGUUAUUUUUCAAACGUUACAAAACCACGUGCUUCUAAAAAUAACUAACGAAAGUGAAAGAAAUACCAUAUACAACAACCACGAGUUCGUGUGACCUGUUUCUACCACAAUAGAAAAGCUAUUCUGAGGAUGAAGUGAGCUUUUUUGUGUCAACGUGUGUUCUUUACACAAUACCAGGUGUUUUGAAAGCAAUAAAUUGGUAAGGAUCUAUAUAUAUAUAUUGAAGAGUAUAACAACACAAUUG